CUCGUCUCGUCGUGCUUGCUUUUGGAUGGUCUCACUGCUGCUCCCGACUGCACGCAAGGCUUCAGUAUUAGUGAUAAGGUAGGGCAAAGAGUUAGAGUACAGCUGGGGCAUAGGAUAUUCCAGCUCUUUCACUGAGUGGCACAGGAAUUGUAGAAGAUACCUCUGUGAUCACAUUUCAAGAGCACAGCUUGAAAAGACCUUUGGUGAUCCCAGCAAUUUCUGUGGCAGACAUUAAGAGUGACCCUUUAAAGAGAAGUCAUUCACAGAAGAGUUGUCUCAGGAGAAAACAGAUUUCAAGGUUAAAAGAAAAAGGAAAGAAAGAAGAAAAUCAUCAAAAGGUGAAGCCAAACUACUUACUUGAGCAGUUCCAUUCAGCUGGGAGAAUAUAAUCUUCUUUUUUUUUUUUUUUUUUUUAACUCCAGAAAAUAAUUCUUAAAAUCAUUAAUUUAAGAGGCACUCUCCUUUGUGUUCUACUGUCACCAUACUUUCCGCAGCUUUGAGGUCAAAGAGGCAAACAGCUGUGGCAAAUGAAUCCAAGCAAGCAGCCUGGUACUUCGUCAUGGGGAAGAAAUAGAUUGUGGCAAGGCAUCUGUAAAAUUUCCCUAAGGCCAUCAUGAUACAGUAGCUUAAAAAUGACAUAUAGCUUUGCAGUCUCAAAGUGAUCAUUUAGAUUAGGUUAACAGAAAGAAUGUUCUUUGUAACGAUGAGAACAACAAACGCCAACCAAGAAAUAUCGAUGUUUCAGCAGAAACACUUACUUAAAUUGCAUUUGGUCACCCCCCACGGAGAGGAGAGGAAACCUUUUAGCACUCAUAAAAGUGAGAGAUGAACAGCACUGUCCAGAGCCAAGCCUUUUGGAGGUGGAGGUAAUGUGUGAAACACCGCUCACAGCACAGCCAGUGCUCCCAAUUCCCAGCCUGCCCUGCCCAUUUCUGCAGCUGAGCAGGCUGCGGGCCCUGCUGCUCCAUCUUGCUCAGGAAGAUGAUGGUUUUGUGAUGCAAAUGAAGACUGACUGAAAACCACUGCGCUGAUCAUCUUCCUCCAGACCACCUGCACUGGUUUUUCCUCUUCUGAGACCUGGAUAUCCUUGAUGGAAAAUCAAUUCAUUUUUACUGUGGCUGCUCUCAGGGGUGGUGACACAGUGCCUGCUGCCCUGCAGAGACCCCCUGUGCAGAGCUGAAUGGCAUAAGGAGAUGAGAGACGUCAACGACAAGAGGAGAGCAGCUAUUUCCACCAAGGCCCUAACACAACUAACAUACUGCAAAUGCAGAACUGAUCAUCUCACUCAGUCAGAAGUGCUUUUCGCUCCUCCAAAAUAAAUGUCCAUGGACUGGUGGGUUGGACAAGGUCCUAAGCAGAGAACCGUGAUGGUGACGCACACUGAAUGGCACAAUAUAUAUAUUUUUUCCUUUCUAUGGUUUAGCACAUUCAUGCCACAAUAGCACAAUAGUAGUGUUCUUGCCAGAAGUGCUGCUGUGCAUCUGCCCAGAGAGUUGCCCUCAGCGUGAGCCACGUGGCUGUGCUGCAGCUGUGCACACAGUGCCCAGUAGUGCCAGGGGCUGCAGCAAGGCUGGCUCAACACACCUUCUGGAGACAGAGGUUUGAGGUAGGAGUGUGGCUGCAACCACACAGACACCCCGAUCCUACAGAACUUGAAGAUGACAUCAGAGCAGUUCCCUUACAGCAUACAACCAUAUAGCUGAUACCAGCCCCUUGUAACAAAACACUCUAUCGGGGUAAAUGACAGCUGAAAUGUAGUCAGCUUUGCCUUGAAGAGAGAUCUUUAACAGACCGUAAGUUAUGUCAUGUUCUAAAAAGAGUAAAUGCCUCUGAUGAAUUUACAUUACCUUGUUUAUUGUCAGCUAGAGGUUUCUUGCUACUUACCAGAUUUUUCCUUUCAGCAAACCAUCUCCAAUAACAGACUGAAAAGUUACUGUGGAAUUCUGUACUAAAAAUAGCCUUGGAAAUAGAAAACAAUCUACAAAGAAAAAUGGGUGUAUACAUCAGGGAUUUCUUUAGCUGAUAGCUUUGUAGUUAGAAGGAAUAUUUUGGCUAAAUGACAAAGAUGUGCUGUCCUGAGACCAUUUAAGAGCCACACACUACACAUGUACAGGACUUUUUAAACUGCAUUUAUAAGAAGACUGCUGUGUGUGAGGAGGAGGAGAAACAAGAAGAGUUUCAGCUGAGGAAGAAACCACUGGUAGUUAUCUUACACUGUCAUCAAAACCCAUGUGCAAAUAUCCAGUAAUGAGUUUAUGGAUCUUCGGGUUGAAAAAUGGUUCAUCUUCAGAAAUUGACUGUGGAAGGGAAUUUUGUGUUCAGUCACUCCAGAGUAAUAUAAAACCACUCAAUUUGAAUAACCUGAUCUAUUCCAACAAGUACUAUAGAAAUUUAUGCAAAGUUUGUUGGGACUGUAGGGCUGCCAUUUUCCUAAUGACAAUAAUUAGCCCUAGCAGCAAAUGGAAGUGAAGGAGCCUCCAUCCCAACUGUGUGAUUAGACCUGCUUCUGGUAUCCAAAACUGAAUUGAGACUUCAGCACUGGAGUAAUUGGGGGAAGUUGUUUGGACUCGGUUUGUACAGGUUACCCUACUUCGUUGCUCUUCCCUACACCUUCGUGCCUCUGAAUAUUUGGCUCUAAUAUAAAUACAGAGACAUUCUUGUUUCCUAUAUAAUAUACAUAAACUUUGUUAGCAUAUAUAUUGCUGCACAUAUAAAGUGUUCAAGCCUUGCCUCAAAUUCAUCUUUCUUCUUAAUUUGAAUAAAGAAGCUUUCUUUGGAAGGAAACAAAU
ensembl:lncRNA